GAUGAACGCUGGCGGCGUGCCUAAUACAUGCAAGUCGAGCGAACGGACGAGAAGCUUGCUUCUCUGAUGUUAGCGGCGGACGGGUGAGUAACACGUGGAUACCCUACCUAUAAGACUGGGAUAACUUCGGGAAACCGUAGCUAAUACCGGAUAAUAUUUUGCACCGCAUGGUUCAAUAGUGAAAGACGGUCUUGCUGUCACUUAUAGAUGGAUCCGCGCUGCAUUAGCUAGUUGGUAAGGUAACGGCUUACCAAGGCAACGAUGCAUAGCCGACCUGAGAGGGUGAUCGGCCACACUGGAACUGAGACACGGUCCAGACUCCUACGGGAGGCAGCAGUAGGGAAUCGUCCGCAAUGGGCGAAAGCCUGACGGAGCAACGCCGCGUGAGUGAUGAAGGUCUUCGGAUCGUAAAACUCUGUUAUUAGGGAAGAACAGAUGUGUAAGUAACUGUGCACAUCUUGACGGUACCUAAUCAGAAAGCCACGGCUAACUACGUG
rnacentral:rRNA from 1 species